rnacentral:lncRNA from 1 species
ACAGAAAGUGCCCUUUCUCUGUUCCUAUGCUGAGAAUCUAAGCCAGGGCCUCAGGUGUGCAGGUCAGUGCUACACCCUGAGCUACACCUCAGCCCAACCCAUCUAACUGAAUGCACAGAUGUUCCAAAACCCAUGGAACCAAGACCUGUCACUGGAUAUAAGGAAAAUGUACCCCCAAAGACUGUGGCUGUUCUGAGGCCAGAGCUGAAGAGACCCUGAAGAAACCUGGACAUCAGCCUGGGAUUGGAGGAGGCCAGAGGAUGCCCAUGGGCCAGGUCACCACACACUCCCAAGACUCAGUGCUAUGCCAGAAGCCCUACCAAGUCCAAAGUAACCUAGCCAGCCCACGUCCCCGCCUGGCCCUUGCCCUGAAGGACACUGCUGGCCGACUAGGUGACACAGGGCUCUGGCAACAGAGUAAUCUACAGCUGCCAACAGGGAGGUCCCAGGGGAGGACCCGAGAGCCUUCUGUACAGCAGAGUAACCUGUGCUUCCGAGGGACCACUAGCCCUCAUCUGCAAAACAGCUGCCUGCCACCAACUGGCCCAUCCUCCCACCAGAAGCAGACACUCCAGGUCGCAGACACCUUCUUGAGUCUCCCUGGGGGCUUGGCACCUCUUGAUGGGUGCACAUGGCCUGGUCCCAGGUCCUGGUGUGGCUCAGGGAGCUGGGCCCCCAGGCUUGUGGGGGAACCUC